rnacentral:rRNA from 1 species
AGUGAACGCUGGCGGUAGGCCUAACACAUGCAAGUCGAACGGCAGCACAGUAAGAGCUUGCUCUUACGGGUGGCGAGUGGCGGACGGGUGAGGAAUACAUCGGAAUCUACUUUUUCGUGGGGGAUAACGUAGGGAAACUUACGCUAAUACCGCAUACGACCUACGGGUGAAAGCAGGGGAUCUUCGGACCUUGCGCGAUUGAAUGAGCCGAUGUCGGAUUAGCUAGUUGGCGGGGUAAAGGCCCACCAAGGCGACGAUCCGUAGCUGGUCUGAGAGGAUGAUCAGCCACACUGAAACUGAGACACGGUCCAGACUCCUACGGGAGGCGGCAGUGGGGAAUAUUGGACAAUGGGCGCAAGCCUGAUCCAGCCAUACCGCGUGGGUGAAGAAGGCCUUCGGGUUGUAAAGCCCUUUUGUUGGGAAAGAAAAGCAGCAGGUUAAUACCCCGCUGUUCUGACGGUACCCAAAGAAUAAGCACCGGCUAACUUCGU